GACGAGCGCUGGCGGCAUGCCUAACACAUGCAAGUCGAACGAACCCUUCGGGUGAGUGGCGCACGGGUGCGUAACGCGUGGGAACCUGCCCUUAGGUUCGGAAUAACAGUGAGAAAUCGCUGCUAAUACCGGAUAAUGUCUUCGGACCAAAGAUUUAUCGCCUUUGGAUGGGCCCGCGUUGGAUUAGCUAGUUGGUGGGGUAAAGGCUCACCAAGGCGACGAUCCAUAGCUGGUCUUAGAGGAUGAUCAGCCACACUGGGACUGAGACACGGCCCAGACUCCUACGGGAGGCAGCAGUGGGGAAUAUUGGACAAUGGGCGAAAGCCUGAUCCAGCAAUGCCGCGUGAGUGAUGAAGGCCUAGGGUUGUAAGCUCUUUUACCUAGGGAUGAUAAUGACAGUACCUGGAGAAUAAGACUCCGGCUAACUCCGUG
rnacentral:rRNA from 1 species